GAAAGCCGUAUGAGGGAAAACCUCACGUACGGUUUGAGGUGGCAGGGAGUGGACACCAGCACCUUGUGCCAGGCGCCACUCCCUGACCCUAC
rnacentral:ncRNA from 1 species